GCUUACGGCCAUACCACUCUGAACACGCCCGAUCUCGUCUGAUCUCGGAAGCUAAGCAGGGUCGGGCCUGGUUAGUACUUGGAUGGGAGACCGCCUGGGAAUACCAGGUGCUGUAAGCC
ensembl:rRNA 5S_rRNA 5S ribosomal RNA